rnacentral:rRNA from 1 species
UUUUAUUUGAGAGUUUGAUCCUGGCUCAGGAUGAACGCUGGCGGCGUGCCUAACACAUGCAAGUUGAGCGAUUUACUUCGGUAAAGAGCGGCGGACGGGUGAGUAACGCGUGGGUAACCUACCCUGUACACACGGAUAACAUACCGAAAGGUAUGCUAAUACGGGAUAAUAUAUUUGAGAGGCAUCUCUUGAAUAUCAAAGGUGAGCCAGUACAGGAUGGACCCGCGUCUGAUUAGCUAGUUGGUAAGGUAACGGCUUACCAAGGCGACGAUCAGUAGCCGACCUGAGAGGGUGAUCGGCCACAUUGGAACUGAGACACGGUCCAAACUCCUACGGGAGGCAGCAGUGGGGAAUAUUGCACAAUGGGCGAAAGCCUGAUGCAGCAACGCCGCGGGAGUGAUGAAGGCCUUCGGGUCGUAAAACUCUGUCCUCAAGGAAGAUAAUGACGGUACUUGAGGAGGAAGCCCCGGCUAACUACGUGCCAGCAGCCGCGGUAAUACGUAGGGGGCUAGCGUUAUCCGGAUU